GUGUGUCGGAUACCCAUUGAAAACGAAGGCUAAUUCCGUGUGAUGCCUACGGGCACUCCAGGCCGACCUUCGACCCUCUCUCGGCAAGAUAUGCCUACGCGGGAUUAGCUCGCCGUCGGGGUGCGGCCUCGCCAAGGCGACGAUCCCUAACUGGUCUGAGAGGAGGAUCCUUCACACUGGACUGACACACGGUCCAGACUCCUACGGGAGGUCCCUGUGGGGAAUAUUGUUCAAUGGGCGCAAGCCUGAUGCAGCCAUGCCGCUCGUAUGAAGAAGGCCUUCGGCAUGUAAAGUACUUACCUGCCGGAGGAAGGGGGCGACCUGAAUAACAGUGCCGUAUGACGCCAACCACUCACUAAACACCGCUUAGCUCCGUGCCAGCAGCCGCGGUUCUACGGAGGGUGCGAGCGUUAAUCGGAAUUACUGGGCUUGAGCGCAUGCCCGUGGUUUGUUAAGACAGAUGUGAAAGCCACCGUACUCCCCUCGCGAAUAUACUUUGAAACUGGCAU
rnacentral:rRNA from 1 species